rnacentral:rRNA from 1 species
UACAGAGGUGGCGAGCGUUGUUCGGAUUUACUGGGCGUAAAGGGUGUGUAGGUGGCUUGGUAUGUCGGGUGUGAAAUCCCACGGCUCACCCGUGGAACUGCAUUCGAAACUGCCGGGCUAGAGUGCGGGAGAGGAGAGCGGAAUUCUUGGUGUAACGGUGGAAUGUGUUGAUAUCAAGAAGAACACCGGUGGCGAAGGCGGCUCUCUGGAACGUUACUGACACUGAGGCACGAAAGUUGGGGGAGCGAACAGGAUUAGAUACCCCGGUA